rnacentral:rRNA from 1 species
GAUGAACGCUGGCGGCGUGCCUAAUACAUGCAAGUCGAGCGAACAGAUGAGGAGCUUGCUCCUCUGACGUUAGCGGCGGACGGGUGAGUAACACGUGGAUAACCUACCUAUAAGACUGGGAUAACUUCGGGAAACCGGAGCUAAUACCGGAUAAUAUAUUGAACCGCAUGGUUCAAUAGUGAAAGACGGUUUUGCUGUCACUUAUAGAUGGAUCCGCGCCGCAUUAGCUAGUUGGUAAGGUAACGGCUUACCAAGGCAACGAUGCGUAGCCGACCUGAGAGGGUGAUCGGCCACCCUGGAACUGAGACACGGUCCAGACUCCUACGGGAGGCAGCAGUAGGGAAUCUUCCGCAAUGGGCGAAAGCCUGACGGAGCAACGCCGCGUGAGUGAUGAAGGUCUUCGGAUCGUAAAACUCUGUUAUUAGGGAAGAACAAAUGUGUAAGUAACUAUGCACGUCUUGGCGGUACCUAAUCAGAAAGCCACGGCUAACUACGUG